AAUAAGUGCAGUUUUUUAUAUUGUUUAUGUUCAACGUUCGACCGUUUAUCUUAUUUGAAAAAAAUUAUGAUUAGUAUUUUUGUUGUUAUUAGAUGAUAAAACAUAAAUAGUACUUUGUGAUUAAUUUUUUUAGUUUUUUUAUAAUUUUUUCAAAUAAGACGGAUGGUCAAAUGUUGGACACGGAAACUCACGGCUGCACUUAUU
rfam:Oryza punctata chromosome 5, whole genome shotgun sequence.